GCUCGCUUCAGCAGUACAUGCACUAAAACUGGACCGAUCCAGAGAUUAGCGUGGCCUUUGCGCCAGGAUGACAUGCACAUGCGUAAAGCGUUCCAUGUUUUU